rnacentral:rRNA from 1 species
UUCCUACGGGAGGCAGCAGUGGGGAAUAUUGCACAAUGGGCGCAAGCCUGAUGCAGCGACGCCGCGUGAGGGAUGACGGCCUUCGGGUUGUAAACCUCUUUCGCCAGGGACGAAGCGCAAGUGACGGUACCUGGAGAAGAAGGACCGGCCAACUACGUGCCAGCAGCCGCGGUAAUA